rnacentral:rRNA from 1 species
CUACGGAGCUGAAGUAACCGAUACCACACUUCCAGGAAAAGCCUCUAAGCUCCAGGUUUAUCUAAACCGUACUGAAAACCGACACAGGUGGUCAGGUAGAGAAUACUCAGGCGCUUGAGAGAACUCGGGUGAAGGAACUAGGCAAAAUAGCACCGUAACUUCGGGAGAAGGUGCGCCGGCGUAGAUUGUAGUCCCUUGCGGAUGAAGGUUGAACCGGUCGAAGAUACCAGCUGGCUGCAACUGUUUAUUAAAAACACAGCACUCUGCAAAGACGAAAGUCGACGUAUAGGGUGUGAUGCCUGCCCGGUGCUGGAAGAUUAAUUGAUGGUGUAAUCGAAAGAGAAGCUCCUGAUCGAAGUCCCAGUAAACGGCGGCCGUAACUAUAACGGUCCUAAGGUAGCGAAAUUCCUUGUCGGGUAAGUUCCGACCUGCACGAAUGGCAUAAUGAUGGCCAGGCUGUCUCCACCCGAGACUCAGUGAAAUUGAAAUCGCCGUGAAGAUGCGGUGUACCCGCGGCUAGACGGAAAGACCCCGUGAACCUUUACUAUAGCUUGACACUGAACAUUGAAUUUUGAUGUGUAGGAUAGGUGGGAGACUUAGAAGUAGUCACGCCAGUGAUUGUGGAGGCGACCUUGAAAUACCACCCUGAUUUAACGUUUGAUGUUCUAACGAAGAUUACGAAACGUGGUCUCGGACAGUGUCUGGUGGGUAGUUUGACUGGGGCGGUCUCCUCCUAAAGGGUAACGGAGGAGCACGAAGGUUUGCUAAUGACGGUCGGACAUCGUCAGGUUAGUGCAAUGGUAUAAGCAAGCUUAACUGCGAGACAGACAAGUCGAGCAGGUACGAAAGUAGGUCAUAGUGAUCCGGUGGUUCUGAAUGGAAGGGCCAUCGCUCAACGGAUAAAAGGUACUCCGGGGAUAACAGGCUGAUACCGCCCAAGAGUUCAUAUCGACGGCGGUGUUUGGCACCUCGAUGUCGGCUCAUCUCAUCCUGGGGCUGAAGUAGGUCCCAAGGGUAUGGCUGUUCGCCAUUUAAAGUGGUACGCGAGCUGGGUUUAGAACGUCGUGAGACAGUUCGGUCCCUAUCUGCCGUGGGCG